UGCUUUAUACGAGUUCAUUUUCCAUUUGAUUAGAAAAAUUUGUCGAUAAUGUGAUUUCUGACAUUGAAAGAAUAUUCGCCAAUGAAAUCGGAUUCGAGAAAUACGCAGCUCUCCCUCCUUCGAACACCUGAGUUUUUUUUUUUUUUUUUCAGUAAAACGAUAUUAAAUUCAUGCUUAGAAGUUGGCCCAAAAACGUGUAUUUCGAUAUUACCAGUUUGUCGCAUGCCAUUUUGAAUAAUUUAACUUUCUCAUCUGCAUUCGAACUGCGAGAACUGCGAAACGCGAAUUGUCAAAAAUAACUGCAAUUAAUUUAUGCAUUAUUUUUGCAAUCUACAAGACGAUAGGUGCACAGAACGAGUUGUACGACAUUGACGAUGACCUAUGACGACGAAAAAAUCGAAAAGAAGCGGGAUAGCACUAGCAGUUCGCUCGUGUGAAAUAUCAAGUGGUAAUUUGUAUUUGAUGUGCAUCUGCAUACGUUGUUACGUUCGCGUUUCUGUGUUAUAAAUGUUCCCGAGUAGGCACAUAAUUAUUAUGUUGGAGAAACCAGCAGAAAGUGUAUUUCACCUCUCAAUCAACUACUCUGUAGCUGCUUCAGUCAGGCAACAGAUUAUGAAAAAUUUAAACUAUGCUGUUUCCAAAAAUCGCGGUUCCGUUCAAAUCGGAGUGUGACACAUCAAGAGGUUCCCUUGUCAGGCAGUCAGUUGGCAUUUUCAAGCUACGAGUAUUCUAAACAGUGUUGGAAAUUCUCGUAAACUUUUUAUGAUUUGUUGGUAAAAUAUCAACUUUGCCAACUUCCACCGAAAAAGGCCAAUUUUCCAACUUUGUAGACCUCGGUUUUGUCCCUGUGUUGAUUCGUUGUAACCGGUGAAGCUAAGCCUAUCCAUGUCAUUUGUGGUAAUGUGGAGUGUAAUCUGAAGAUGAGCUCUUUGAAAUUCUAUUUUCGCGAUCAACUUGUUGGGAAUUUCGAGUUCGAGUCGCGAUAGCUCGGAAUGAUGUUCGAGUGGAAUUUUUUCUACUGGUUCCUUGAGAUCGAUUGGUCGAUAUAAUUAGAUGCUACAGAAUAAAAACAAUUGCUUCGAUGGCAUAGCUUCGAGUUCGAUAACUGUGGAUGACGCGGCAAAUGUUAUUUUAAAGCAGGUGAAAUAUUUAUUGAAAAAUCCCCCAUAAUUAGUAUGUAAGUAGUAAGUACUAUUUAUUGCAUAGGCUAUCUCGAUAUGAUUUUUAUGUAGGUAUUACGAUCCAAGUGAACUUAUUGUAAAGUACCUAGGUAUUUUAAGUUUUUCAAUGAGAUCCGAUUUUUUGGACAAUGCUUUGUGAUUCCCUUGAAUUUUUACCACAAGUGAACAUUGUAUCGUCGUAUGUAAAAAUUAACAAAUUAUGACGACAUUGCAGAACACGAAACCAGUUUUUUUUUCAUGGUCGCCGAGUGCACCUAAAUGUAAGACUAAAUUUUUAUAAACAUUAAAAAUGCAUUUAAUAGUAAAGUAACCUUUACGAGGGAAAAAGAAGGUCAAGUAGGUAUACGAUUAGAAAUGAGAGAUUUUCCAGGGAAGAAUGAAAACGUAUCAAUGUGCCUGCCUUCUGUAUGAUAAUGUGUGUGUAAAUGUUUUGUUGGUUGAUGUGAUUUUGAAUGAAAUCGGAGCGAAUGCGAAAUUCUAAAUUGCCUGAAAAAUUUGCAGUAUUGCUUCGGUCAUUGUGAUACGUAAGUGACGUGCACUUGUGCAAAUGAAAAAAAUACGAGAUGAAUCGAGUAAUUUUUAGUAAUAAUUAUUUGUCGAGUGUGGGUUUCACGAUUAGAUUACGCCAACUGUUUUCGUGUAAUUAUUGCAAUUGCACUAUCUUAUCGGAGAAGAUUUUUGAUAUUAAUGGUCUUGUUUUUCCGCGUAAUGUGGUAUAAAUUCGUGCAUCCUAAGAACUGAUGUUUGUUUUUGGAUAAAAUCCAAUAAUCUUGUAAUUUUUUCGAUGAAUAAAUUUCGAGAAAAGAGAAGAUGAGUUAUGCUGAAUGUUCGGAGAAAUCACGUACCUAAAAAAUUAAUGAGGUAAUCUACAUAGGUACCUAGACGUGAUAAACCGCAUCGAUUAAUUCGCCGAAUGCUUCGACGCUUCGUUAUAAUAUUAUGCUUUAGAAAAUGCCCACGUGUUAUAUUGAUUGCAAAUUUUUAAAUUAGUUGCACGUUGCACUUGAAGUGGCCCAUGUGAAUUAAGAAUGAACUUAACUUAUGUAUAUACGUUUUUGUCUUCUUUUUUGAUGGGUAUCGUUGAUAGAAUAUUGAUGUGACUUUUCUGCGGGCUAAAAAAUUGAUUAAUUUUUUGUGGUCAUCGUUGUAAAAGUCAGAAACGACGAUUUUGGAUUUUCGCAGUUACGUAAUAAUAUGUAUUAAAGGAGGGGGAGGGAGUAGAACAAGAAAUUCCAAAAUUUUCAAAAUGCCUCAGGCUACAUACAUUUUUCCGUCUAGCUGACAUAGCUUGAGCUAAAUUGUGUCAAUCGCAUUUUAUGAAUUUUUCAAAUUUUUGAAUAAUGUGUCGAGAAAAAUAUGUGAAAUCGUCUACUUACGUCUUGAACAUGAAACCAAACACUAAUACUUGGUCCGGCAUAUGACAAUAGGAGUAAUUGCACACCCCCCCCCCCCCCACCGAUCGUCCUGGACAACUUUUUUCUUAAAGUGGGACAUCCUCAGGGACAUUUUAAAGCAAACUUGCCCAAAAAAAAAGUUGGCCUUGCUUACAAAAUGGCGGCCAUUUUGAUUUACAGGUCAGCCGAAAUCGCAGAUUUUGCGUUUCAACAUAGGACUUGCACGAAUUUUUUCAAACUUUACAAAGGUAGAUCGAAAGAUCAUGCUAAAAUUCAUCACCUGUCAAAAUUUCAAGUGCUAAAGUGCGUUUUUCGAUUUUUGGUGAAUUUUCGAAAAUCGAAUUUAGGCCAAAAAUGAGGGAAAAAAUCAAAAUUUUACCAAAUUGACCAAGAAAGCUGAAAUUUUAGGAUAUACCCUAUUUUCGACAUGCCAAAUCGAUUGGAAACGGUUUCAACCCGUUUUGAGCAGUUCUGGAGCCUCCAGCAGAUUUUUGAAACUCGACAUUCCCACAAAAUUCCAUCAAAUUGGAGUUGUAAAGUUAAAAUUUAUUCUAAAAACUAAUUUCAAUACGCUACGAAGUACUGCAGGUAAAUUUCAAGUUGUUUUGGAGCCUCCAGCGACUUUUUGAAAGGUUGUAUGGCGUUUUUUUGGAAAAUUGAAAUUUCCUAAUAGUAGCUGGAAGCUUCAAAACUAUUUGAAACCAUCAUGUAGUCUGUGAAGUGAAUUUCAGCUUGCCAACUCCAUUUGAUAUAUUAACGUUGCCGUUGGGGAAAUUUCAAGUUUCAAAAAUCUACUGGAGGCUCCAGUAAUUUUCAAAAAAGUCGCUGGAGGCUCUAAAAUGACUUGAACCUGCCCGUAGUCGUCUUCAGAGGAUGUUAAAAUUGGAGUGUAGAGUAAAUUUCCGCUUUCUAUCUCCAUUUGAUGAAAUUUUAUAAAAAUUUUAAGUUUCAAAAAUCUGCUGGAGGCUCCAGUAAUUUUCAAAAAAGUCGCUGGGGGCCCUUAAAAUGACUUGAACCCACCUGAAGUCGUCUUCAGAGGUAGAUAAAAUUGGAAUGUAGAGUAAAUUUCAGCUUUCCAUCUCCAUUUGAUGAAAUUUUGUGAAAAUUUAAAGUUUCACAAAUCUGCUGGAGGCUUCAGGAAUUGUCAAAAAGUUGCUGGAGGCUCCAAAACGACUUGAAAUUUACCUGCAGUACUUCGUAGCGUAUUAACAUUAGUUUGUAGAAUAAAUUUCAACUUUACAACUCCAAUUUGAUGGAAUUUUGUGGGAAUGUCGAGUUUCAAAAAUCUGCUGGAGGCUCCAGAACUGCUCAAAACGGAUUGAAACCGUUUCCAAUCGAUUUGGCAUGUCGAAAAUAGGGUAUAUCCCAAAUUUCAGCUUUCUUGGUCAAUUUGGUAAAAUUUUGAUUUUUUCCCUCAUUUUUGCCCUAAAUUUUGACAGGUGAUGAAUUUUUGCAUGAUCUUUCGAUCUACUUUUGUAAAGUUUGAAAAAAUUCGUGCAAGUCCUAUGUUGAAACGCAAAAUCUGCGAUUUCGGUUGACCUGUAAAUCAAAAUGGCCACCAUUUUGUAAGAAAGGCCAACUUUUUUGGGCAAGUUUGCUUUAAAAUGUUCCUUAGGAUGUCCCCUUUAAGAAAAAAGUUGUCCAGGAGGAUCGAUCGGUGGGGGGGGGGGUGCAAUUACUCCUAUUGUCAUAUGCCGGACUAUAAUUUCGAUUUCUGCAUUCCCUAAACUAAUCCUACUUAUUUCAAAUUUACUAAAAAUAGUUCCAAUUAACUUGAUGAAUUUUAAUUUAAAAAGAAAAAAGUGUUUAAGAAUAUGUGAAAAUCGUCUACCUACAUCUUGAACAUGAAACUAAACACUAAUUUCAAUUUCUGUAUUCCCUAAACCAAUCCUACUUGUUUCAAAUUUAAUAAAAGUAGUUCCUAGCUUGAUGAAUUCUAAUUUAAAAAGAAAGAAAAAGUGUUUAAAAAUAUGUAAAAAUCAUCUACUUACUUACCCAUGUUAUUCCAUCAAAUUUUAACAGUUGAAAGCAAAUAAUAAAACUAUCUAUAGAUACCUACCUUUGCCAAACCAGUUAGGUUUUAAAAUUAUUUACCUAAACCACGGAUUUAGCUAAUUUAGAUUUAGAAUUUGAAACCAACCUUAUCUAAUCAAACCCAAACAAUUUUAAAAUUUGAAUUGAUUCCUAUUUGGAUGAUAAGAAAUCGAAAGAUUUCUAAAAGGAUCUCGGGGAUAGUUUUAUUGUAAAAUGAAUUGAUCCUCCCCUGAUCGGUUUUCAAUUUUCAUUUUUUGAAUUUUUUAAUAAUCUGUUGAGAAAAAUUGUCUACCUACUUACCCAGGGGCAAAUCACAAAACUAUCUACAUAUACCAAACCUGUAAUUUAAACCACGUACUUGCCCAAUUUUGAAUUUGAAACAAACCUAAUCUAAUCAAAUCCAAACAAUUUUAUUUCUAUUUGACAAACCUUAACCAAUUUUUUACCUUACCAUGUUAUUUUAUCAAAUUUUGAAAAUUGAAAGCAAAUCAUAAAACUAUCUCCAUUAAAAAAAAAAAGUAGGUAUUCAAUUCAAUAUGUAUUUUUAUUCAAAAACAAAAAAUAAAUAAAAUGUUUUUAAAAUAAUAAAUGUUGGCUAACAGCCUAACAGGAACAAUUUGCCUAAUGAAAUUUUCAAUAAAAUAUAGAGCUGGUCAAACAGUCAAAAUUCGAUGCUGGCCAAAGUUUUUUAUUCGAUAAUAAACCCGAUGGCCCAUAUCCAUAGCGUAAAAUUUACUAUAGAAAUCUGAAGUGGAUUUCAUUAUAAUAAGAAUCGGGUUAUACAAAUGACACAAUUUGGCUCAAGCUAAGUAUGUUGGAUGGACAAUAUGAUAUGAAGGGUGAGACUGAAAUUCGCCCAACUUUUUGUGAUUCCAGAGCAGGUCUCAUAGUCAUAAGAACAAUCUCUUAAUGGAAAGUUUUAUCAAAGAGUUAAAAUUCUUUAUUUAAAGAAAAAAAAAUUAAAUUUGUAUAUGAGUUCAAAAGCUUCUUUAGCUUAUUUUUCUUACUUAUUUUUAUAUGUAUUAUUAAAAUAAAAUAAUUAACUUGAAGUAAAUAAUUUUUUAAAAUUGAUUUUUAAUAAAAAUAAAUUUAAAAUUCUCCAUCAAGUCAACAUAUUCAACCAACAAGAUUCACCAAAUUAUGUCAAUACUUCCUCCAUUAUGACAAAGUGACUGUUUGUCCUACUACAUUGUACACUGACUGAAUACCUCUUUAGUUAGUUGUUUGAUUGGUACUAGUAAAAUAAAAACAUUGCAGAAAUUUGGAACUUUUUAUAACUAAAAAUGAAUAAAAUGACUUCAUUAUAAUAUAAUUCUAAGAUUGAAUUACUGUCUGUAGAAUUUUUAUCAUGAACUUCAAAACAUAAAAAAAAAAAAAUUGCUUACUAUCAAGUUGUCAAGAUUGGUAUAAUUUACGCAUCCCAGUACGUCUACAUAAUCUGAAGCAGAGACUGCUUCCACUUGGAUGUAGCUGCAUUGAACAGCUUCAUGUCUAGAAUAGACCUGCCACAGAUCUCCUGGUACUGUAAACACAACAUGAACAAAGUUAGUUUUUCCUAAUCUAACAAACUUCUCGCUAAAAGGUUCCUUUUUACCUUAGUUUUUAAUGUUUUUAGAAAUCAUUAUAAAUUAUAAAACAUCAUUACAAAACAUUAUUUAUAUUGCAUUUACCUUCAAUUGAUAUUAUUCUUUGUCCAUUUGCUUGCAUAUACUCAUAUAACAGGCAAGGGAGGAGGUGGUGACUGGUGGAUGUUUAUUUGAACAGUUCCUGCCAAUCUGUACUUGGCUCCAAAUUGCUCAAGGAGUUUUCUAUCUCUGGGCAACCCGCAGCUGCUCUGAUAGUUCUGAUAGACGCAGAGGUGGACUGCAUGGAGGUGCAGUCUAGCUCCUGAGUGGUAGCAUAUGGCAGGAGCUCCCUGGGCUUCACAGUAUCAUAAUAGGUAUAAAGGUUUCUAAAAUCAAAGGCAUGACAAAGAUAUGGUAAUGUAUUCUUAGUUUUCUGGAAAUAGAGCCUCUGUCUGCUCAAGUCAAAAAAAUUUAAUUCAACUUGAAUGUUAUUUUCUGAAGAAAAAAAAUUAAUAGACAAUAGGUAAUAUUAAUGUAGGUACCUACGUAUUUAAAAAUGAAAAUUAUUCUUACUUACUAUAGACACUGGACCUGUGGAGUAAGACAAUCAACUGGCAGCCAUCUUGCCAAAAAAAACUGUGUAGGGAAAAUUUCUCCCGCUGAGUGAUCUUGGCUGCGCUGCUGUCAAUUUCUUGAACAAACUACAUGCAAAAUACAGGGCAGCCAAGAGCACUCAGCGGGAUAAAUUUUCCCUACACAAACUUUCUUUGCAGUUUCCGUUCCCCUCGGUCUGCAGCUGGUUGUCUUACUCCGCAGGUCCAGUGUCUAUAUUACUUACUCACCAAUUUUUCAAUGGACUUUAGUUGCCUACUUGUCUGUCACUGGCACUGGUGUUGUUUGCAUUGGUGGCACUGAUGGUGUUGUUUCAAGCGCUAGUUUUGUGGUUUCUGAAAAAACUAAAAAGCAUUAAAAAUGAUGUAAGUCAGAAAAAACUUCUGAAAUUGUAGAAAAAUUAAGCAAAAACUGCCUACCCAACAUUGAUAGGUACCUACUUGUAAUUGAAGUUUAAUAAAAUUUUAUGACAAUUG